rnacentral:rRNA from 1 species
CACGUAGGGAGCAAGCGUUGUCCGGAUUUAUUGGGCGUAAAGAGCUCGUAGGUGGUUCGGUAAGUCGGGUGUGAAAUCCUGGAGCUCAACUCCAGAACUGCCUUUGAUACUGAGGGGCUUGAGUCCGGGAGAGGUGAGUGGAACUGCGAGUGUAGAGGUGAAAUUCGUAGAUAUUCGCAAGAACACCAGUGGCGAAGGCGGCUCACUGGCCCGGUACUGACGCUGAGGUGCGAAAGCGUGGGGAGCAAACAGG